rnacentral:rRNA from 1 species
UACAGAGACUGCGAGCGUUAUUCGGAUUCACUGGGCGUAAAGGGUGCGCAGGCGGCCGUGUGUGUGGGGCGUGAAAGCCCGGGGCUUAACCCCGGAAUUGCACCUCAAACUACACGGCUAGAGCAUUGGAGAGGGUAGCGGAAUUCACGGUGUAGCAGUGAAAUGCGUAGAUAUCGUGAGGAACACCAGAGGCGAAGGCGGCUACCUGGACAAUUGCUGACGCUCAGGCACGAAAGCGUGGGGAGCAAAAGGG